AGAGUUUGAUCCUGGCUCAGGACGAACGCUGGCGGCGUGCCUAACACAUGCAAGUCGAACGGAGAUACGAUUUCGGUUGUAUCUUAGUGGCGAACGGGUGAGUAACGCGUGAGCAACCUGACUCUUAGAGGGGGAUAACACUCGGAAACGGGUGCUAAUACCGCAUAAGACCACGACAUGGCAUCAUGACGAGGUCAAAGGAGCAAUCCGCUGAGAGAGGGGCCCGCGUCCCAUUAGAUAGAUGGCGGGGUAACGGCCCACCAUGUCCGCGAUGGGUAGCCGAGCUGAGAGGCUGAUCGGCCACACUGGAACUGAGACACGGCCCAGACUCCUACGGGAGGCAGCAGUGGGGAAUAUUGGACAAUGGGCGCAAGCCUGAUCCAGCAAUACCGCGUGUGUGAAGAAGGCCUGAGGGUUGUAAAGCACUUUUAAUGGGGAGGAACCCCUGCCGGCGAACACCCGGCAGACUGACAUUACCCAUAGAAAAAGCACCGGCUAACUCCGUGCCAGCAGCCGCGGUAAUACGGAGGGUGCAAGCGUUAAUCGGAAUUACUGGGCGUAAAGCGUGCGUAGGCGGCCCGUCAAGUCAGAUGUGAAAGCCCCGGGCUCAACCUGGGAACGGCAUUUGAAACUGGCGGGCUAGAGUUUGGGAGAGGUAAGUGGAAUUUCAGGUGUAGCGGUGAAAUGCGUAGAGAUCUGAAGGAACACCAGUGGCGAAGGCGACUUACUGGCCCAAAACUGACGCUGAGGUACGAAAGCGUGGGUAGCAAACAGGAUUAGAUACCCUGGUAGUCC
rnacentral:rRNA from 1 species